rnacentral:rRNA from 1 species
UGAUGCGGUCAUACCAAGGCUACUACACCAGAUCCCAUCAGAACUCUGAAGUUAAGCGCCUUUGGGCCGGAAUAGUACUGGGAUGGGUAACCU